rnacentral:rRNA from 1 species
GACGAACGCUGGCGGCGCGCUUAACACAUGCAAGUCGAACGGAAAGGCCUGCUUUCCCUUGUGGAUUGCGGGUACUCGAGUGGCGAACGGGUGAGUAACACGUGAGUGAUCUGCCCCCAACUUGGGUAUAAGCCUGGGAAACUGGGUCUAAUUCCCGAUAGGACUGCAGGGUGGUGCCUGUGGUGGAAAACGAUUUUCUAGUGGUUGGGGAUGAGCUCGCGGCCUAUCAGCUUGUUGGUGGGGUAAUGGCCUACCAAGGCGGCGACGGGUAGCCGGCCUGAGAGGGUGGACGGCCACAUUGGGACUGAGAUACGGCCCAGACUCCUACGGGAGGCAGCAGUGGGGAAUAUUGCACAAUGGGCGGAAGCCUGAUGCAGCGACGCCGCGUGGGGGAUGACGGCCUUCGGGUUGUAAACUCCUUUCGACCGCAAGGAAGCCACCUGGUUGGAAGGGUGGUGACGGUAGUGGUAGAAGAAGCACCGGCUAACUACGUG